GCCGGGCGUGGUGGCACGUGCCUGUAAUCCCAGCUACUCAGGAGGCUGAGGCAGAAGAAUCGCUUGAACCCAGGAGGUGAAGGUUGCAGUGAGCAGAGAUCAUGCCACUGCUCUCCAGCCUGAGUGACAGAGUGAGAUUCUGUCUCAA
rfam:Gorilla gorilla gorilla genomic chromosome, chr17, whole genome shotgun sequence